GGGUCCGUAGUUCAAUUGGUAGAAUGUCGCUCUCCAAAAGCGAAGGUUCCAGGUUCGAGACCUGGCGGACCCG
rnacentral:tRNA from 1 species